GCAGUCCAUAAAAAUAGUUAUGCGGUCCACGAUGGUGGAAGCCUAUUUUAUGUGAUCCAACGAUCCACAUUCAUCCAUCUCGAGAUCCAACGGCUGCUAUUCAUCAUCGAUUUAUAGGAGAACUUUUGCGCGAUCCGAUGAUUGAAAUUUCAUCCAUCAAGAGAUCCAACGGCUGAGGAUGCUCCUGACUUUGAAUAGGAGAUUAGAAGCACUGAUCGACGGCCCAGAUCUCAUCUGAAGCA
rnacentral:lncRNA from 1 species